rnacentral:rRNA from 1 species
UACGGGGGGGGCAAGCGUUGUUCGGAAUUACUGGGCGUAAAGGGCUCGUAGGUGGCCAACUAAGUCAGACGUGAAAUCCCUCGGCUUAACCGGGGAACUGCGUCCGAUACUGGAUGGCUUGAGUUUGGGAGAGGGAUGCGGAAUUCCAGGUGUAGCGGUGAAAUGCGUAGAUAUCCGGAGGAACACCGGUGGCGAAGGCGGCUUCCUGGACCGACACUGACGCUGAGGCGCGAAAGCUAGGGGAGCAAACGGG